rnacentral:rRNA from 1 species
GCAAGUCGAACGAACUCUGGUAUUGAUUGGUGCUUGCAUCAUGAUUUACAUUUGAGUGAGUGGCGAACUGGUGAGUAACACGUGGGAAACCUGCCCAGAAGCGGGGGAUAACACCUGGAAACAGAUGCUAAUACCGCAUAACAACUUGGACCGCAUGGUCCGAGCUUGAAAGAUGGCUUCGGCUAUCACUUUUGGAUGGUCCCGCGGCGUAUUAGCUAGAUGGUGGGGUAACGGCUCACCAUGGCAAUGAUACGUAGCCGACCUGAGAGGGUAAUCGGCCACAUUGGGACUGAGACACGGCCCAAACUCCUACGGGAGGCAGCAGUAGGGAAUCUUCCACAAUGGACGAAAGUCUGAUGGAGCAACGCCGCGUGAGUGAAGAAGGGUUUCGGCUCGUAAAACUCUGUUGUUAAAGAAGAACAUAUCUGAGAGUAACUGUUCAGGUAUUGACGGUAUUUAACCAGAAAGCCACGGCUAACUACGUGCCAGCAGCCGCGGUAAUACGUAGGUGGCAAGCGUUGUCCGGAUUUAUUGGGCGUAAAGCGAGCGCAGGCGGUUUUUUAAGUCUGAUGUGAAAGCCUUCGGCUCAACCGAAGAAGUGCAUCGGAAACUGGGAAACUUGAGUGCAGAAGAGGACAGUGGAACUCCAUGUGUAGCGGUGAAAUGCGUAGAUAUAUGGAAGAACACCAGUGGCGAAGGCGGCUGUCUGGUCUGUAACUGACGCUGAGGCUCGAAAGUAUGGGUAGCAAACAGGAUUAGAUACCCUGGUAGUCCAUACCGUAAACGAUGAAUGCUAAGUGUUGGAGGGUUUCCGCCCUUCAGUGCUGCAGCUAACGCAUUAAGCAUUCCGCCUGGGGAGUACGGCCGCAAGGCUGAAACUCAAAGGAAUUGACGGGGGCCCGCACAAGCGGUGGAGCAUGUGGUUUAAUUCGAAGCUACGCGAAGAACCUUACCAGGUCUUGACAUACUAUGCAAAUCUAAGAGAUUAGACGUUCCCUUCGGGGACAUGGAUACAGGUGGUGCAUGGUUGUCGUCAGCUCGUGUCGUGAGAUGUUGGGUUAAGUCCCGCAACGAGCGCAACCCUUAUUAUCAGUUGCCAGCAUUAAGUUGGGCACUCUGGUGAGACUGCCGGUGACAAACCGGAGGAAGGUGGGGAUGACGUCAAAUCAUCAUGCCCCUUAUGACCUGGGCUACACACGUGCUACAAUGGAUGGUACAACGAGUUGCGAACUCGCGAGAGUAAGCUAAUCUCUUAAAGCCAUUCUCAGUUCGGAUUGUAGGCUGCAACUCGCCUACAUGAAGUCGGAAUCGCUAGUAAUCGCGGAUCAGCAUGCCGCGGUGAAUACGUUCCCGGGCCUUGUACACACCGCCCGUCACACCAUGAGAGUUUGUAACACCCAAAGUCGGUGGGGUAACCUUUUAGGAACCAGCCGCCUA